rnacentral:rRNA from 1 species
CCAGACUCCUACGGGAGGCAGCAGUCGGGAAUAUUGCGCAGUGGAGGAAACUCUGACGCAGUGACGCCGCGUGCAGGAAGAAGGUUUUCGGAUUGUAAACUGCUUUAGACAGGGAAGAUACAAGACAGUACCUGUAAAAUAAGCUCCGGCUAACUACGUGCCAGCAGCCGCGGUAAUACGUAGGGGGCAAGCGUUAUCCGGAUUUACUGGGUGUAAAGGGAGCGUAGACGGCAUGGCAAGUCUGAUGUGAAAACCCGGGGCUCAACCCCGGGACUGCAUUGGAAACUGUCAGGCUAGAGUGUCGGAGAGGCAAGUGGAAUUCCUAGUGUAGCGGUGAAAUGCGUAGAUAUUAGGAGGAACACCAGUGGCGAAGGCGGCUUGCUGGACGAUGACUGACGUUGAGGCUCGAAAGCGUGGGGAGCAAACAGGAUUAGAUACCCCAGUAU